rnacentral:rRNA from 1 species
AUUGAUUUUAUGCUUGCAUAAAUGAUUUUUGGAUUCGGAGCGAGUGGCGAACUGGUGAGUAACACGUGGGUAACCUGCCCCGAAGCGGGGGAUAACAUUUGGAAACAAGUGCUAAUACCGCAUAAUUAGUUGGAACCGCAUGGUUCCAACUUGAAAGAUGGCUCUGCUAUCACUUUGGGAUGGACCCGCGCCGUAUUAGUUAGUUGGUGAGAUAAAAGCCCACCAAGACGAUGAUACGUAGCCGACCUGAGAGGGUAAUCGGCCACAUUGGGACUGAGACACGGCCCAGACUCCUACGGGAGGCAGCAGUAGGGAAUCUUCCACAAUGGACGAAAGUCUGAUGGAGCAACGCCGCGUGAGUGAUGAAGGUUUUCGGAUCGUAAAACUCUGUUGUUAAAGAAGAACAAGUGUUAGAGUAACUGUUAACACUUUGACGGUAUUUAACCAGAAAGCCACGGCUAACUACGUGCCAGCAGCCGCGGUAAUACGUAGGUGGCAAGCGUUGUCCGGAUUUAUUGGGCGUAAAGCGAGCGCAGGCGGUUUUGUAAGUCUGCUGUGAAAGCCCUCAGCUCAACUGAGGAAGUGCAGUGGAAACUACAAAACUUGAGUACAGAAGAGGAAAGUGGAACUCCAUGUGUAGCGGUGAAAUGCGUAGAUAUAUGGAAGAACACCAGUGGCGAAGGCGGCUUUCUGGUCUGUUACUGACGCUGAGGCUCGAAAGCAUGGGUAGCGAACAGGAUUAGAUACCCUGGUAGUCCAUGCCGUAAACGAUGAAUACUAGGUGUUGGAGGGUUUCCGCCCUUCAGUGCCGCAGCUAACGCAUUAAGUAUUCCGCCUGGGGAGUACGACCGCAAGGUUGAAACUCAAAGGAAUUGACGGGGGCCCGCACAAGUGGUGGAGCAUGUGGUUUAAUUCGAUGCUACGCGAAGAACCUUACCAGCUCUUGACAUCUUCUGCCAACCCAAGAGAUUGGGCGUUCCCUUCGGGGACAGAAUGACAGGUGGUGCAUGGUUGUCGUCAGCUCGCGUCGUGAGAUGUUGGGUUAAGUCCCGCAACGAGCGCAACCCUUAUUAUUAGUUGCCAGCAUUUAGUUGGGCACUCUAGUGAGACUGCCGGUGAUAAA